rnacentral:rRNA from 1 species
UACGAAGGGGGCUAGCGUUGUUCGGAAUUACUGGGCGUAAAGCGCGCGUAGGCGGACCUGCAAGUCGGGGGUGAAAGCCCGAGGCUCAACCUCGGAACUGCCUUCGAUACUGCGGGUCUCGAGUCCGGGAGAGGUGAGUGGAAUCCCUAGUGUAGAGGUGAAAUUCGUAGAUAUUAGGAAGAACACCAGUGGCGAAGGCGGCUCACUGGCCCGAUACUGACGCUGAGACACGGAAAGCCAGGGGAGCGAACGGG